CACCUGGUGCUGCAGGCUGGAAACAUCCUCAAUGCUGGUGGUUAUGCUGGUAACGCUGUGGGUUUCAAGCUGUCCUCUCUCCUGUCUCUGGCUGAUACCAAGGCCAAUAAACCUGGCAUGAACCUGCUGCACUUUGUAGCUCUGGAAGCACAGAAGAAGGAUGAUAAAC